GACGAACGCUGGCGGCGUGCUUAACACAUGCAAGUCGAACGGAAAGGCCCUGCUUUUGUGGGGUGCUCGAGUGGCGAACGGGUGAGUAACACGUGAGUAACCUGCCCUUGACUUUGGGAUAACUUCAGGAAACUGGGGCUAAUACCGGAUAGGAGCUCCUGCUGCAUGGUGGGGGUUGGAAAGUUUCGGCGGUUGGGGAUGGACUCGCGGCUUAUCAGCUUGUUGGUGGGGUAGUGGCUUACCAAGGCUUUGACGGGUAGCCGGCCUGAGAGGGUGACCGGCCACAUUGGGACUGAGAUACGGCCCAGACUCCUACGGGAGGCAGCAGUGGGGAAUAUUGCACAAUGGGCGGAAGCCUGAUGCAGCAACGCCGGGUGCGGGAUGACGGCCUUCGGGUUGUAAACCGCUUUCGCCUGUGACGAAGCGUGAGUGACGGUAAUGGGUAAAGAAGCACCGGCUAACUACGUG
rnacentral:rRNA from 1 species